rnacentral:rRNA from 1 species
AGAGUUUGAUCCUGGCUCAGGAUGAACGCUGGCGGCGUGCUUAACACAUGCAAGUCGAACGAAGCACUUUAUUUGAUUUCCUUCGGGACUGAUUAUUUUGUGACUGAGUGGCGGACGGGUGAGUAACGCGUGGGUAACCUGCCUUGUACAGGGGGAUAACAGUUGGAAACGGCUGCUAAUACCGCAUAAGCGCACAGCAUCACAUGAUGCAGUGUGAAAAACUCCGGUGGUAUAAGAUGGACCCGCGUUGGAUUAGCUAGUUGGUGAGGUAACGGCCCACCAAGGCGACGAUCCAUAGCCGACCUGAGAGGGUGACCGGCCACAUUGGGACUGAGACACGGCCCAAACUCCUACGGGAGGCAGCAGUGGGGAAUAUUGCACAACGGGCGAAAGCCUGAUGCAGCGACGCCGCGUGAGCGAAGAAGUAUUUCGGUAUGUAAAGCUCUAUCAGCAGGGAAGAUAAUGACGGUACCCAACAAGGAAGUGACGGCUAACUACGUGCCAGCAGCCGCGGUAAAACGUAGGUCACAAGCGUUGUCCGGAAUUACUGGGUGUAAAGGGAGCGCAGGCGGGAAGACAAGUUGGAAGUGAAAUCUAUGGGCUCAACCCAUAAACUGCUUUCAAAACUGUUUUUCUUGAGUAGUGCAGAGGUAGGCGGAAUUCCCGGUGUAGCGGUGGAAUGCGUAGAUAUCGGGAGGAACACCAGUGGCGAAGGCGGCCUACUGGGCACCAACUGACGCUGAGGCUCGAAAGUGUGGGUAGCAAACAGGAUUAGAUACCCUGGUAGUCCACACCGUAAACGAUGAUUACUAGGUGUUGGAGGAUUGACCCCUUCAGUGCCGCAGUUAACACAAUAAGUAAUCCACCUGGGGAGUACGACCGCAAGGUUGAAACUCAAAGGAAAUGACGGGGGCCCGCACAAGCAGUGGAGUAUGUGGUUUAAUUCGACGCAACGCGAAGAACCUUACCAAGUCUUGACAUCCCUUGACAGACAUAGAAAUAUGUAAUCUCUUCGGAGCAAGGAGACAGGUGGUGCAUGGUUGUCGUCAGCUCGUGUCGUGAGAUGUUGGGUUAAGUCCCGCAACGAGCGCAACCCUUAUGGUCAGUUACUACGCAAGAGGACUCUGGCCAGACUGCCGUUGACAAAACGGAGGAAGGUGGGGAUGACGUCAAAUCAUCAUGCCCUUUAUGACUUGGGCUACACACGUACUACAAUGGCGUUAAACAAAGAGAAGCAAGACCGCGAGGUGGAGCAAAACUCAGAAACAACGUCCCAGUUCGGACUGCAGGCUGCAACUCGCCUGCACGAAGUCGGAAUUGCUAGUAAUCGUGGAUCAGCAUGCCACGGUGAAUACGUUCCCGGGCCUUGUACACACCGCCCGUCACACCAUGAGAGCCGGGGGGACCCGAAGUCGAUAGUCUAACCGCAAGGAGGACGCCGCCGGAGGUAAAACUGGUGAUUGGGGUGAAGUCGUAACAAGGU